AGAACGAACGCUGGCGGCAUGCCUAACACAUGCAAGUCGAACGCUCCUGGGGCUUCGGUCUCAGGGGAGUGGCGCACGGGUGAGUAGCGCGUGGGAACCUGCCCUGUUGUGGGGGAUAACCGAGGGAAACUUCGGCUAAUACCGCAUAAGCCGGUUGUCUUGAAAGAGAUGACCGGGAAAGAUUUAUCGCGACAGGAGGGGCCCGCGUCGGAUUAGCUAGUUGGUGGGUAACGGCCCACCAAGGCAGUGAUCCGUAGCUGGUCUGAGAGGAUGAUCAGCCACACUGGGACUGAGACACGGCCCAGACUCCUACGGGAGGCAGCAGUGGGGAAUAUUGGACAAUGGGCGCAAGCCUGAUCCAGCAAUGCCGCGUGAGUGAUGAAGGCCUUAGGGUUGUAAAGCUCUUUCGCCCGCGACGAUGAUGACGGUAGCGGGAGAAGAAGCCCCGGCUAACUUCGUGCCAGCAGCCGC
rnacentral:rRNA from 1 species